CCUACUGGUGGCAGCAGUGAGGAAUAUUGGUCAAUGGGCGCGAGCCUGAACCAGCCAAGUAGCGUGAAGGAUGACUGCCCUACGGGUUGUAAACUUCUUUUAUAAAGGAAUAAAGUGAGGCACGUGUGCCUUUUUGUAUGUACUUUAUGAAUAAGGAUCGGCUAACUCCGUGCCAGCAGCCGCGGUAAUACGGAGGAUCCGAGCGUUAUCCGGAUUUAUUGGGUUUAAAGGGAGCGUAGGUGGGUUGUUAAGUGAGUUGGGAAAGUUUGGGGCUCAACCGUAAAAUUGCAGUUGAUACUGGCAGUCUUGAGUACAGUUGAGGUAGGCGGAAUGCGUGGUGUAGCGGUGAAAUGCUUAGAUAUCACGAAGAACUCCGAUUGCGAAGGCAGCUUGCUAAACUGCCACUGACAUUGAUGCUCGAAAGUGUGGGUAUCGAACAGGAUUAGAUACCCGAGUAGUC
rnacentral:rRNA from 1 species